rnacentral:rRNA from 1 species
GUGCCAGCAGCCGCGGUAAUACGGAGGGUGCGAGCGUUAAUCGGAAUUACUGGGCGUAAAGGGUGCGUAGGCGGUUUAGUAAGUUAUAUGUGAAAUACAUGGGCUUAACCUAUGUGCUGCAUAUAAUACUGUUAAGCUAGAGUAUGGUAGAGGAUAGUGGAAUUUCCGGUGUAGCGGUGAAAUGCGUAGAGAUCGGAAGGAACACUGGUGGCGAAGGCGGCUAUCUGGACCAAUACUGACGCUGAGGCACGAAAGCGUGGGUAGCAAACAGGAUUAGAUACCCUGGUAGUCCACGCCCUAAACGAUGGAUACUAGGCGUAAGGGGUAUCGACCCCCCUUGUGCCGCAGCUAACGCAUUAAGUAUCCCGCCUGGGGAGUACGGCCGCAAGGUUGAAACUCAAAUGAAUUGACGGGGACCCGCACAAGCGGUGGAGCAUGUGGAUUAAUUCGAUACUAACCGAAGAACCUUACCCAGACUUGACAUUGAAGGUAACACUCUGAAAGGAGUGCCCCUGGCCACAAGCCAGGCCUGAAAACACUUGUUGCAUGGCUGUCGUCAGCUCGUGCCGUGAGGUGUACGGUUAAGUCCGCCAACGAGCGCAACCCACGUCCUGUAUUACCAGCGAGAGAGUCGGGCACUUACAGGAGACCGCCGGUGUAAGCCGGAGGAAGGUGUGGAUGAUGUCAAGUCAGCAUGGCAGUUACGUCUGGGGCUCACACAUGCUACAAUGGGCGAAACAAAGGGCAGCAAUCCCGCGAGGUGGAGCAAAUCCCAAAAAUACGUCCUCAGUUCAGAUUGCAGUCUGCAACUCGACUGCAUGAAGGCGGAAUCGCUAGUAAACGCAGGUCAGCUAUACUGCGUUGAAUACGUUCCCGGGUCUUGUACACACCGCCCGUCAAGUCACUUGAAUUGUCUUCACCCGAAGUCCGUGGCCUAACCGCAAGGAAGGAGCAAUAUCGUGACUGGGAAACAGAUCGGA